rnacentral:rRNA from 1 species
GAUGUACGCUGGCGGCGUGCCUAAUACAUGCAAGUCGAGCGAACAGACGAGGAGCUUGCUCCUCUGACGUUAGCGGCGGACGGGUGAGUAACACGUGGAUAACCUACCUAUAAGACUGGGAUAACUUCGGGAAACCGGAGCUAAUACCGGAUAAUAUAUUGAACCGCAUGGUUCAAUAGUGAAAGACGGUUUUGCUGUCACUUAUAGAUGGAUCCGCGCCGCAUUAGCUAGUUGGUAAGGUAACGGCUUACCAAGGCAACGAUGCGUAGCCGACCUGAGAGGGUGAUCGGCCACACUGGAACUGAGACACGGUCCAGACUCCUACGGGAGGCAGCAGUAGGGAAUCUUCCGCAAAGGGCGAAAGCCUGACGGAGCAACGCCGCGUGAGUGAUGAAGGUCUUCGGAUCGUAAAACUCUGUUAUUAGGGAAGAACAAAUGUGUAAGUAACUAUGCACGUCUUGACGGUACCUAAUCAGAAAGCCACGGCUAACUACGUG